UGGGGAAUCUUGGACAAUGGGCGCAAGCCUGAUCCAGCCAUGCCGCGUGAGUGAAGAAGGCCUUCGGGUUGUAAAGCUCUUUUGGCGGGGAAGAUAAUGACGGUACCCGCAGAAUAAGCUCCGGCUAACUUCGUGCCAGCAGCCGCGGUAAUACGUAGGGACCAAGCGUUGUUCGGAUUUACUGGGCGUAAAGGGCGCGUAGGCGGUGUGUCAAGUCAGUUGUGAAAUCUCCGAGCUUAACUCGGAACGGUCAACUGAUACUGUCACACUAGAGUACAGAAGGGGCAAUCGGAAUUCUUGGUGUAGCGGUGAAAUGCGUAGAUAUCAAGAGGAACACCUGAGGCGAAGGCGGGUUGCUGGGCUGAUACUGACGCUGAGGCGCGAAAGCUAGGGUAGCAAACGGGAUUAGAUACCCAUGUAGUCCCUGAGCGGGCUGGCAAGGCGCAU
rnacentral:rRNA from 1 species